rnacentral:rRNA from 1 species
CAGCCGUAAACUAUGCGCGUUAGGUGUACUGGUGACCACGAGUCACCGGGGUGCCGAAGGGAAACCGUGAAACGUGCCGCCUGGGAAGUACGGUCGCAAGGCUGAAACUUAAAGGAUUAGCGGGGGAGCACCACAACGGGUGGAGCCUGCGGUUUAAUGGAUUCAACGCCGGACAUCUCACCGGAUAAGACAGCUGAAUGAUUGUCAAUCUGAAGGUUUUACAUGACUAGCUGAGAGGAGGUGCAUGGCGUCAGUGACU